rnacentral:rRNA from 1 species
AGAGUUUGAUCCUGGCUCAGGAUGAACGCUGGCGGCGUGCUUAAUACAUGCAAGUCGAACGGGGUAUGUAGCGAUAUGUACCCAGUGGCGAACGGGUGAGUAACGCGUUGGUGACCUGCCCCAAAGCGGGGGAUAACAGUUCGAAAGGACUGCUAAUACCCCAUGAGGUCUCUGAGGCUAGAGGCUUGGAGACGAAAGGAGCGAUCCGCUCUGGGAGGGGCCUGCGUCCCAUCAGCUAGUUGGUAGGGUAAUGGCCUACCAAGGCGACGACGGGUAGGGGACCUGAGAGGGUGACCCCCCACACUGGCACUGAAACACGGGCCAGACACCUACGGGUGGCAGCAGUAGGGAAUAUUGCACAAUGGGCGAAAGCCUGAUGCAGCAACGCCGCGUGCGCGAUGAAGGCCUUCGGGUCGUAAAGCGCUUUUCGGGGAGAUGAGGAAGGACAGUAUCCCCGGAAUAAGCAUCGGCUAACUCCGUGCCAGCAGCCGCGGUAAUACGGAGGAUGCAAGCGUUAUCCGGAUUCAUUGGGUUUAAAGGGUGCGCAGGUGGGAAUGUAAGUCAGUGGUGAAAUACUGCCGCUUAACGGUAGAGCUGCCAUUGAUACUGCGUUUCUUGAGUAUGGUUGAGGUAGGUGGAAUGUGUUGUGUAGCGGUGAAAUGCAUAGAUAUGACACAGAACGCCGAUUGCGAAGGCAACUUACUAAGCCAUUACUGACGCUGAGGCACGAAAGCGUGGGUAGCGAACAGGAUUAGAUACCCUGGUAGUCCACGCCGUAAACGAUGUUCACUCGCUGUUUGCGAUACACAGUAAGCGGCUGAACGAAAGCAUUAAGUGAACCACCUGGGGAGUACGAUCGCAAGG